AACGAACGCUGGCGGCAGGCUUAACACAUGCAAGUCGAGCGAGACCUUCGGGUCUAGCGGCGGACGGGUGAGUAACGCGUGGGAACGUGCCCUUCUCUACGGAAUAGCCCCGGGAAACUGGGAGUAAUACCGCAUACGCCCUUUGGGGGAAAGAUUUAUCGGAGAAGGAUCGGCCCGCGUUGGAUUAGGUGGUUGGUGGGGUAAUGGCCAACCAAGCCGACGAUCCAUAGCUGGUUUGAGAGGAUGCUCAGCCACACUGGGACUGAGACACGGCCCAGACUCCUACGGGAGGCAGCAGUGGGGAAUCUUAGACAAUGGGGGCAACCCUGAUCUAGCCAUGCCGCGUGAGUGAUGAAGGCCUUAGGGUUGUAAAGCUCUUUCAGCUGGGAAGAUAAUGACGGUACCAGCAGAAGAAGCCCCGGCUAACUCCGUG
rnacentral:rRNA from 1 species